GGUUGGAGGCAGUAAGAGGAGGAAGAGAGAGAACGAAGAAAGGACAGAUGAGAGAGAGAGGAAUUGGAGGAAGAAAAAAGAGAAAAAAAAAUGUUGAAUUGACUCCGUUUGAAGACAGCGUUAGUGUUUUUGGGUCUUAUUUUUAAAUGAUGAUGUGGCAGCUCUUCAACCGUUGGAUGGAAUACUCACGGAUGCUCUGAGAGGGUUUUUAACUGAGAGGAGCCGGAUCCCACUGCCCAAUGCUUGCCCACCCGUAACCUUUUGCGUAACGGUUCAUUGCAAAACGUCUUUUAUGCUUUCCACGGACGAAGACUGAAAAAGCCAAACUUUACUCUUUGAUACACGCGUCUCUACUCCAUCACUUUCGGCGAUUCUCCCUCAUCCCUAUUUUACCCACAUCAACUAUCAAACCCUAUCUUAUAUUGAUUUCUCCAUAUAGAUCUGCCUCCAUCUUCAUCUUCUUCCUCCAUAUUCAGAAGAACAGAAGUACUUAUGAACGCCCUAAAUCAAUCCAAUCUCCCCUUGGGUCAAAGAGUUCAAAUUCUCAAGCGCAGCUCCAGUAAGUGUGGCCCUUUCUCAAGUUACUGCUGAUCAAAGAGUUGAACCAAGCAAUGAUAAUGAUUAUAUCAAAAGCCCUAAUACCAAUUGUUUCUUCAUUAUCACCGCCUUUCUUCAAGCAAAAAUCAUCAACUUUUGUUUCCAUACUUUUUCGAUUUGUGAUUGAAAUUUGGACUCUUUUGAACCAAGGAUGAUUGGAUUGAUUUUGGGUUUUCGUAAGGAGAUGAAAAAGAACUCUGAAAAUAGUGCACAACAUCAUUUUCUUAAGGUUAUGUAUACUUUUGUUUUUAUAUAGUCUUUCUUUUAUUAUUAUUAUUAUUAUUAUUAUUAUUAUUAUUAUUAUUUUCUAUUUCCCACUAUCAUUUUUAUUUUACAAAACAAAAUGAAAAUUGUAACGUUAUUUAUUAUCAGAGUGGAUGUCUGUGAUCAUGUGCAUGUUAAUGCUUUAUUGUUUUGUUUAGGGAGGAUGUAUGUGAUCAUUUGCAUAUAAUGUUUUAUUCUAUUGUUUACUUUUUAUGUUCUUUAAAGAAAAAAUAGCAUCAAAUGCUUAAGAAGAUUUUGUCAAUAGGUUUAUACCAUCUAUGGAAUUCCUGUCAGUCAGGAGAGCCAGUUGUGAGGCUUAAAGGAUUUUAAAAAUCAUAUAGAACUUGAGCUACAGACAUGUUUGUUUGAAUUCGAAUGCCCGUGUAGGAAAGGUUUUGCAGGCUCCAAAUCAUGAAGAAGUGGAUAGGAAAUUUGUUUAUCUGACUCCAAUGUCAUUGCAUUGCACUUGGAUUGUUGUUGCUGGUGCUGGCUUACUAACAAACAAAGGUAUUGUUCAGACCCCAAUUUCAAGGCGCCAAGGUUGAUAUCUGGUCUGCUGGGGUCACCUUACUCUACCUGAUGGUUGAAGAAUGCCCUUUGUUGGCAACCCCGAACAGAACAUAAAGGAAAUUGCAUAGUUGCAAGGCAGUGAAGAUCUUUGGGAAGUGGCCAAGCUACGUAACUGUGAAUCCUCAUCACCUUUUGCUGGAGAGUACUGUUUUGUCACAGGACCUCUUUGAUAUACGAACCAAACACUAAAAGGCCAGAUUUCCUUAAGGCUGUACCAAGACCACUCUUCCUUCUAAGCGUGUGCUCUUAACCGUGGAUUAAACAAAUUCUUUGCUGGAGGUCGUAACCCCUUUUAACUGAAAUUAUAAAAUAAAUAAAUAAAUUCUGAAUUUGAUUAAAGAGAACGUGCAAAGAUUCAAAAGAUAAUACAUCUAGCGUACACUGCGAUAUCAUGUUGCUCUAUGCCUCUAUACUGUCAUAUAAAGUCUUAACAUGGCUGGUCUUUCAUGUAAAAUAGAAUGAUAUUUCUUCUUAUCAUUGGAUAUAAUGCAUACCUACUACAUAUACAUACAUACUUAUAUAUCCUUUUGUCUCACUAUUUCUGUGAUUAGUAUUGUUCAACAUUAUCAAACGGAGAAUGGCGAUGCAUGUGGCUAAUAAACUAUUACAGAUAUAGUACCACUUGCUUUUUUUAUUAUUAUUAUAUGCUUCUGUAUAUAUAUAUAUAUGUAUGUAUAUAUUUGGUACUAAUAGCUUGGUCAUGUGGUUGUAGAUCAGAGUAUAUCAACAAUAAGAAUAGAACUCGUGACUUCACGACAUUUUGACAAUAUAAUUUGUGCAUUUUGGAGGUAUGUAAUUUUGUUUUUGAUAUUAUUAAAGCUGCCUACUAGCUGCUUGUAUAUAUAUAUAUAUAUAUAUUUGGUACUAAUAGCUUGGUCAUGUGGCUGUAGAUGAGAGUAUAUCAACAAUAAGAAUAGAGCUCGUGACUUCACGACAUUUUUACAAUAUAAUUUGUGCAUUUUGGAGGUAUGUAAUUUUGUUUUUGAAAUUAUUAAAGCUGCCUACUAGCUAGCUUUGGUCUACUUUAGAGAACUCAGAAAAUAGUGCACAGUAGCAUUUUCUUAUGGUUUUAUAUGCUUGUUUGUUUUUAUAGAAUCUAUUUUUCUUUUUCUUUUUCUUUUUUUUGUCACCCUAUUAUAUUCUUUACAAAACAAAGCGAAAAUUGUGAAGUGUAUUAUAAUCAGAGAGGAUGUAUGUGAUCAUUUGCAUGCUAAUGUUUUAUUGCAUUGUUUAGGGGGUAUUUAUGUGAUCAUUUUCAUACUAAUGUUUAAUUUUAUCGUUUACUUUUAUGUUCUUUAAAGAAAAAAUAGUGAGAAAUAAGAAAGAGAAAAUCAUCCAGCAACUUAUACUGUUGGUUCUGAUUCUGCAUCAAAUGUUUAAAUACAUUUUGUCAAUAGGUUUUAUACCAUCUAUGGAGUUCCUUUCAGUCAGGAGAGCCAGUUGUGAGACAAAAGGAUUUUAAAAAUCGUGCAGUACUUGAGCUACAAACAUGUUUGUUUGAAUUUAAAUACUGGUGCAGGAAAGGUUUUGCAGGCUCCAAAUCAUGAAGCAGUGAGUCGUCCAGUUUCUAAGAGAGAACACUUCCCCUCUUGAAAAGUGGAUAGAAAAUUUGUUUAUUGCUGUUGCUGGUGCUGGCUUACUAACAAACAAAGUUGUGUUUCCUAUAUUAGGGUGAAUUAAAUGACUUCAUAUAAAAAACUUAAUUUUUUUUUUUUAUUUAUCAUUUUUUUUUUUGCUCCUAGGGGAUGGAAAGCACAGGAAAUUAAGAAGCUCCGUGUGUUGGAAACAAGGGCUUCCAAGCUCCAGAGGUAAGAAAUUGUAAUCGUUUUCACUUCAGUUGAAAUACUAUUUCCUAUCUAUUCUCAGGUCUUCAUUUUUUUUUUUUACUCUCAUUCAGAACUCCAUCGAGUUGUUGCUUCAUCAUUUUUUGAAGGCUCAGGUAUUAAGAUGUUACUAGAAGAACGACAAUAUUAUAUUUAGAUGGAGCAUAAUGAUGAAAAAAACUCCUACAAUGAUAUUUGGUCACAGAAGUUCUGCAAAUCAAUAUUAAAAUAAUUAGAAUACAUCCAUUUUACUCUGUUAAGUUAAGAUGGAUUACAAUUUAAAGGAACCAAACACCUAUACCUUCUAACUAUAAACAUCAUAUACCCUUUCCAUUAAUAAUUAUAAACUAUAAUAUAAGAGUAAAAAAAUAAAUUGGAUGAUUAAACAUUUUAAAAGCCAACUAUCAACAUUGUUCAAAAGACAGUUUUUGGGUAAUCCUAUUUAUUCAGAUUCUCUCCUCAUUCUAUACUUACCUAUCUUUUUGUCACAUCAGCAUCUUAUUUUUCUCUCUCCACGUCUAAUAUGUCUAAUCUCUUCAAACCAACUAAACUCUUAACCAUCUCUUCUAACGUUUUUAGAUUGAAAAAUAAUUUAUAUAUACAUUUGUAAGUAAAACAAGAAUUAAGAAUGUAGAAAAGAAAAAAAAAAAAAAAAAUGGAGUUGGACCACACACACAAAAAAAAAAAAAAAAAAAAAAAAGGAUUCUUGAGACACUAAACUAACCAUAACAUUUUUUUUUUGAUAAGUAACCAUAACAUUAAGAAUGCAGAAAAGAGAAAAAAAAAUAAAAAUAAAAAAUUUGGUGUCUUAACGAUAUCUACUGGAGGAUGAAAUUAAAUCCUGUGGUUUCUUUAUCCACAUGAUAAAUCAUGAUGGUACGAUCCUCAUGGAUCCACACCCAAAAUUGUGUUGGAAACUUUAAAUUUACUGGGAACCAGGUUUUGUGAAUUCUUUAAUCUCCUUAUAUGUAAAUAAAUCCUUGCUUGGUGUAUGGUUCUAAAAUAUAUUCAUUUUCCUACUUUUCUGCAAAUGGUUAUAAUACCGUCGAGUUAUGAGGGAAGAAAAGUUGAUUUAGCUAUGAUUUAGAACCAAGCAAUUUCUUGGUCGGACCACUCCAAUCUUUUCUAUUGUCUUGUCUCCUGAACAGUUGGGAAUGUUGAUGACCUACCCUGGAAAUCACAGUUGAAUGAUUGUAAUCAUCUUGCCGUGCUACUUCAUUUCCUCUUGUAGAAGUUCUUGCUUAAAGACUGGUUGUAGUCCCUGUAUAUAUCUUGCUGUUGCACCACUGACCACUGGCACAUUUUGGGGAUUCUUUCUUCCUUCUAGUUGAUGCAAUCGGAUAUCCCUUGUUUUUGUAUUAAACCUUUUUCACAUCCCUGUAACACUCUGCAGGAGUUGCCAACAAGCUUGCCAUCAGUUUCAUUCAAGGGUAGGACAAGAACGGAUAGGAAGCUUGUACUCCUUCGCGAUCCAGCUUCAAGAUUGUGGCCAGUCGUCUACCAUGAGAUACUUAGCAAAGCAAACGACCAUCAACCAGGAGAUCAAUGUGUUUUUGCGGUUAGUAUACCAGUAGUUCAGUAUUUUGGACAAAAUGUAUUGAGAAUGAAAAACCAGAAUUGUAUAUUGUUUGUGACCAGAGUUUUGUGGCCUUUUCGGGAAUGAAUCCUUUUACAUGUGUGCAAGUAUAUUAUUAUGUUGCCUUUCAUUAGCUA